rnacentral:piRNA from 1 species
UAGCAACUGGAUGGGUCUUUCCUUG